UGCACAAUGGGCGCAAGCCUGAUGCAGCGACGCCGCGUGGGGGAUGACGGCCUUCGGGUUGUAAACCUCUUUCACCAUCGACGAAGGUCCGGGUUCUCUCGGAUUGACGGUAGGUGGAGAAGAAGCACCGGCCAACUACGUGCCAGCAGCCGCGGUAAUACGUAGGGUGCGAGCGUUGUCCGGAAUUACUGGGCGUAAAGAGCUCGUAGGUGGUUUGUCGCGUUGUUCGUGAAAUCUCACGGCUUAACUGUGAGCGUGCGGGCGAUACGGGCAGACUAGAGUACUGCAGGGGAGACUGGAAUUCCUGGUGUAGCGGUGGAAUGCGCAGAUAUCAGGAGGAACACCGGUGGCGAAGGCGGGUCUCUGGGCAGUAACUGACGCUGAGGAGCGAAAGCGUGGGGAGCGAACAGGAUUAGAUACCCUGGUAGUCCACGCCGUAAACGGUGGGUACUAGGUGUGGGUUUCCUUCCUUGGGAUCCGUGCCGUAGCUAACGCAUUAAGUACCCCGCCUGGGGAGUACGGCCGCAAGGCUAAAACUCAAAGGAAUUGACGGGGGCCCGCACAAGCGGCGGAGCAUGUGGAUUAAUUCGAUGCAACGCGAAGAACCUUACCUGGGUUUGACAUGCACAGGACGCGUCUAGAGAUAGGCGUUCCCUUGUGGCCUGUGUGCAGGUGGUGCAUGGCUGUCGUCAGCUCGUGUCGUGAGAUGUUGGGUUAAGUCCCGCAACGAGCGCAACCCUUGUCUCAUGUUGCCAGCACGUAAUGGUGGGGACUCGUGAGAGACUGCCGGGGUCAACUCGGAGGAAGGUGGGGAUGACGUCAAGUCAUCAUGCCCCUUAUGUCCAGGGCUUCACACAUGCUACAAUGGCCGGUACAAAGGGCUGCGAUGCCGCGAGGUUAAGCGAAUCCUUAAAAGCCGGUCUCAGUUCGGAUCGGGGUCUGCAACUCGACCCCGUGAAGUCGGAGUCGCUAGUAAUCGCAGAUCAGCAACGCUGCGGUGAAUACGUUCCCGGGCCUUGUA
rnacentral:rRNA from 1 species